rnacentral:rRNA from 1 species
AGCGAACGCUGGCGGCAGGCCUAACACAUGCAAGUCGAACGGAUCCUUCGGGAUUAGUGGCGGACGGGUGAGUAACACGUGGGAACGUGCCCUUUGGUUCGGAACAACUCAGGGAAACUUGAGCUAAUACCGGAUGUGCCCUUCGGGGGAAAGAUUUAUCGCCAUGGGAGCGGCCCGCGUCUGAUUAGCUAGUUGGUGAGGUAACGGCCCACCAUGGCGACGAUCAGGAGCUGGUCUGAGAGGAUGAUCAGCCACACUGGGACUGAGACACGGCCCAGACUCCUACGGGAGGCAGCAGUGGGGAAUCUUGCGCAAUGGGCGAAAGCCUGACGCAGCCAUGCCGCGUGAAUGAUGAAGGUCUUAGGAUUGUAAAAUUCUUUCAGCGGGGACGAUAAUGACGGUACCCGCAGAAGAAGCUCCGGCUAACUUCGUG